UGGCUUCACCUCCUGUAUCUUACAUUGAGUGGAAGAGUUUGAUAACAGAGGAGUGGGAGACCCAUCCAAUUGGCGGGUGGGUUGAGGGGAGGAUGGCAUCAAGGAUAUCUUCCUGGAGGAGGAGCUGAUUAUUCCCAUUCUGAGAACUGGUAGAGCCUGGAUGGAACUGGAGGGAAGGAUGGUUUCCAGGACUGGUCCCCUGCCCCACUCCUCACCUCCAACAAGGCCCCUGCAGCAUCCUCCACCCAGGCCCUGUCUGCCUCCUCUCCUUCCCUCUGGUCCCAGGAAUACCGAGUCAUGAGGAAGAUCCUGCUGCUCCAGGAGGCUGCCAAGAAUUACAACCUAGAACACGAGAGAGCGAUUUGUGGCCUGGUUCCAAGACAUGGAGUUGCUCAACGAGAAUGAGAGCUACAACCUGUCCUGCCAGCCAGAGCCCUAGACCUAGUUGGCCUGCAAAAUACGCAAGGCCAAGAAGAACCGGCCAUCAUCAAGGUCUGGAGUCAAAGGCCAAGGGAAGAGGUCGUCAAGAGGUCAAGUGUAAUCUACCUAUGGGUGUGGCAGCCUUAACUAUGGAUGUUCAAACCAGACAUUGCCAGCAGAACCACAUCUCUUCACCCAUAGGUGAGUUUUUACUAGUAAUCACAGAGACUUGAGGAUAUCAAAGGAAAUUCUUUAUUAAGAACCAAAGUUAUAGAUCCCUAUCUUGGGUUCAUUACUUUGAAUUUUUGACCCAAAUCAUAUGCAUCUAUUGGACCAUGUUCAAUUCUAUGAUCUUUAGAAGAUGCAGCCUACAGCUGAAGAGAAACAGAUACAACACCAAUAUCUUACCCUCUCUGAAGCACAACUGAGAGCCCCUGGAGUGAGAAGUUUUCAAGACAAGAAAAAGUCAUUCUUCUUCUGAACAGAGAGAGUAGAGGCUAUUCAAACAUUCAACUUUAAAUUGUUAACAUGACUUGUUAGAAUGUGAUGGAGCAAGCCUCAUACCUUCUAAGUUUCAUGAUUUUUCUCCAGAAUACUGAGAGGGAUGACCUUAAAGUCCAGUUUCCCCAUAAAUGUCUUUAUUCAGUGAUAAAAUUAAAUUCCCUAUAAAAUAAUUCCCAUAGGGCUGGCCCCGUCGCUUAGUGGUUAAGUGCUCUGCUACUGGUGGCUCGGGUUCAGA